rnacentral:rRNA from 1 species
UACGAAGGGUGCAACCGUUGCUCGGAAUCAUUGGGCGUAAAGCGCACGUAGGCGGCGCAGUAAGUCGGACGUGAAAUCCCUCGGCUCAACCGAGGACGUGCAUCCGAAACUACUGUGCUCGAGUAUGGAAGAGGGUCGCGGAAUUCUCGGUGUAGAGGUGAAAUUCGUAGAUAUCGGGAGGAACACCAGUGGCGAAGGCGGCGACCUGGGCCAAUACUGACGCUGAGGUGCGAAAGCGUGGGGAGCAAACAGG